GACUCGUUAGCUCAGUUGGUAGAGCAUUUGACUUUUAAUCAAAGGGUCACUGGUUCGAGGCCAGUACGGGUCA
rnacentral:tRNA from 1 species